AUUGAACGCUGGCGGCAGGCCUAACACAUGCAAGUCGAGCGAGCGGCGGACGGGUGAGUAAUGUCUGGGAAACUGCCUGAUGGAGGGGGAUAACUACUGGAAACGGUAGCUAAUACCGCAUACCAUCAGAUGUGCGUAGAUGGGAUUAGCUAGUAGGUGGGGUAACGGCUCACCUAGGCCACGAUCCCUAGCUGGUCUGAGAGGAUGACCAGCCACACUGAAACUGAGACACGGCCCAGCGUCCUACGGGAGGCAGCAGUGGGGAAUAUUGCACAAUGGGCGCAAGCCUGAUGCAGCCAUGCCGCGUGUGUGAAGAAGGCCUUCGGGUUGUAAAGCACUUUCAUCGGAGAGGCGUUACCCGCAGAAGAAGCACCGGCUAACUCCGUGCCAGCAGCCGCGGUAAUAC
rnacentral:rRNA from 1 species